UUUUUCCAGCGGAAAAUCGAGUUCCUGACGCGGCAAAUGGAGAAAAUCCAACCAGCCCUGCAGGAGAAACACGCCAUGAAACAGGCCGUUCUGGAGAUGAUGACGCAGAAGCUGCAGCAGCUCACGGCGGCCCCGGGCGGGGCCAAGGUGUGACCCCCCCUUCAUCCUCCUCAUCCUCGAGGGGGUGGCCCCCCCCCCCAAAUCCUGGCCCCCUCAGCCCCCCCAGAUCCCCCCUCCCGUUUUGUAGCAGCUUUUGCUGCCAACCCCCAAUAAAGGAGAGACGGAG